rnacentral:lncRNA from 1 species
CACUGAAGGAAGCCAGCACAUGGAAAGCUGAGAAGUUGAAGUAACUCGGUGCCUUUGGAGCACGUAUAUAGUUGGUAUGUGUGUGCCUCCCCUUCAGAGGGAUGCCAGAAACAUUUUUCAAAGAAGACAAAGAAAGCAUUUUUUGAAAAAGAUAUUGCUCUUAGAGAAGAAAGCAUUCUGGCUAAAGUAUGGAGAAUGGAUUGAGGUGAGUAGCGGGUAGAGGAUAAUUGUGGUGCUGGAGGUAAGAGAUGAUAGCUGAUUCGACUCAGGGGGAAUGGUGGGUGUGGAGAGAAGGUGGUGGGUUCAAAGCCUGACACAAGGGGCUUCUGCUUCCCAAGAAUAUGGUAAAGUGGCACUUACUGCUGCUUCCCUCUCUCAGUCACCUUGCUGAUGCCACGGAAAUGAGAGGAAGGGCAUGGAACUGAGGUAGCAAAUGUGGAGAAAGCGUGGGAGAGAGAGUAAGUGCCCCAGUGUGGGAAGGGAAUGGCAGCUUGGGGAGAGAAGGUUCAUUGCUACAGGGGGGGAUGAUAUGAGGAGAGAGUUUGCCCGAUGAGUGUUUUUAUUUCCUCUCCUCGGCAAUGAACUGGAUGGAACUUUGUCCUAUCACCAAUGAGAACUGAAAAAAACAGAGUGC